AUCCAGCUGACGAGUCCCAAAUAGGACGAGACGCCCUUCCUGUAU
rnacentral:hammerhead_ribozyme from 1 species